rnacentral:tRNA from 1 species
AAAGUAUUAAGUUAAGGAAACUAAAAGCCUUCAAAGCUUAAAUUGAUUUGGUUCAUACUUAGA